AAUUUGUGGGCAAUGGUGAUGGUUCUGGAGCUAGUAGCAACAAUUUGGUGACCAGCAGAGUGAACAGAUGCUCAAACAGCUUGAAGAAACCGCUGAGAAUAUAAAUCUGCUUGGAGUCCCCAGAAUGAAAGAGGAGCAACUUCCUGGUACUACUGUAGGAUCUCAAGGUCCGAGUGCAGACAGCAUCUCUUUGUACCAGGCACAUUUCAUAUACACGCACUGGAUCCUCGUACUUACGGCAUCAUGGCGGCGCACAGACGUACAUACAUGAC